rnacentral:tRNA from 1 species
GCCUUUGUGGUGAAAUGGUCAGCACACUCGGCGCGUAAUUGAGAGAUCUGAGGUUCGAGUCCCGGCGAGUGCA